CCCCUAGAUGUUCUGGGCCGCACGCGCGCUACACUGAACAGUUCAACAAGUCUUAACCUUGGCCGAUAGGUCUGGGUAAUCUUUGAACGCUGUUCGUGAUUGGGAUAGACCUUUGCAAUUAUGGGUCUUCAACGAGGAAUUCCUAGUAAACGCAAGUCAUCAGCUUGCAUUGAUUACGUCCCUGCCCUUUGUACACACCGCCCGUCGCACCUACCGAUUGAAUGGUCCGGUGAAAUCUCGGGACGGCGGCAUGGUCGCUUGCGUCCGACUGCUGAAACUUGAUUAAACCAUAUCAUUUAGAGGAAGGUGAANUCGUAACA
rnacentral:rRNA from 1 species